GGGAGUUCUGCCUCAGCUCACUACUUAGCCCGGCACAGUGGCUCAUGCCUGUAAUCCGAGCACUUUGGGAGGCUGAGGUGGGAGAAUAAUUGAGCCCCUCCAGUCAAGGUUGCAGUGAGCCAUGAUAGAACAAGAUGUUGUCAAAAAAAAAAAAAAAAAAAAAAAGAAAGGAAGAAAAGAAGAAAAGACAGAAAAGAAGGAAGGGACGGGAAGGGGAGGGGAGAUCCGAAAAGCAAAAACUAAAAACCUCACUUCUAAGGCACUUUCUGGAAUCGUUCCACUCCACUCGGAUCUCCCUCUUUAUUGGGCAUCGUUUUGGGUUUACAGGCUCCACACCCCCAGUCUCUGUGCAUGGCUUUGAAUUUUACAAAUGGAGGCUGUAGCCUGGGGAAGACAGUGCUGCUUCCAUCGUGAGCUGCGCUGUGGCUGUCUCCUUCCCAUCUGCAGGAAUUGAGGAAUUCCUAAGAUGACUUGUUUGGGGGCUGCUUUGCUGCUGGGGGUGGGGAAAGACAACUUUCUGGCAGUGGCUCUUGAGUGAACCAAAAUUGCCAUGGAUAACAAAUGAUGCAAUACUAGGUCCUGAGCAAGGAAAAGGCAUAAACCCCGGAAUUGGAGAAAGC
rnacentral:lncRNA from 1 species